rnacentral:misc_RNA from 1 species
AACUGAUACUACCUGCGGGAACCUGCGGAAGGAUCAUUACUGAGUGAGGGCGCAAGCCCGACCUCCAACCCUUUGUGAACCAACUCUGUUGCUUCGGGGGCGACCCCGCCGUUUCGGCGACGGCGCCCCCGGAGGUAUUCAAACACUGCAUCUUUGCGUCGGAGUCUUAAAGUAAAUUUAAACAAAACUUUUAACAACGGAUCUCU